UUAGAGUUUGAUCAUGGCUCAGGACGAACGCUGGCGGCGUGCUUAACACAUGCAAGUCGAACGAUGAAGCCUUUCGGGGUGGAUUAGUGGCGAACGGGUGAGUAACACGUGGGCAAUCUGCCCUUCACUCUGGGACAAGCCCUGGAAACGGGGUCUAAUACCGGAUAACACUUCCUCGGGCAUCUGAGGUGGUUAAAAGCUCCGGCGGUGAAGGAUGAGCCCGCGGCCUAUCAGCUUGUUGGUGGGGUGAUGGCCUACCAAGGCGACGACGGGUAGCCGGCCUGAGAGGGCGACCGGCCACACUGGGACUGAGACACGGCCCAGACUCCUACGGGAGGCAGCAGUGGGGAAUAUUGCACAAUGGGCGAAAGCCUGAUGCAGCGACGCCGCGUGAGGGAUGACGGCCUUCGGGUUGUAAACCUCUUUCAGCAGGGAAGAAGCGACUGAGUUUUCUCGGGCGUGCGCC
rnacentral:rRNA from 1 species